rnacentral:lncRNA from 1 species
CUUUUUCUCCUGUCACCAUGUUAGGCAUUUUUCAGAGUCGACACUCGGAACUUGUUUUUCUUUUGGUACCAGGAAUUGAACUCGGGGCCUAACACCUUCCAGGCAGGUGCUGCACCACUGAGCUACAUCUCCAGCCCCAGCAACUUGUCUACCGCUGCUCCUGGAGAAAGAUACAGUAUUCUCUUACACCUACGAUUCCAAAACUUCCUCUGAGCAGCUCAGAUAAGUGGUCAUAAGUGUUUGCUUUUCCUACUCAACUAAUUCUGGGAUUAAACAGAAGACUUCAGUCUCCAGUGCCUCCACCUUUCUUGAUAGAUAUGUUCUUUGGGAGCCAAUAUGCAUUUUUCAAAAAAGCCCUUACACUGGAAUGCUUCAAGGAUAGAAAGAAUACCUGCACCUUACUCAAGACCCCUGCAAAGAUAAAUACUGAAUGGAUCUAUUAUGUGAGAAGACAGGGACAGGGGUCAUGGCUAAUUCAACUUUGUGACCUAGUGACCAAGAUGCAAUGGAAGUGCUAAGUAAGAAAUCGUUUGAAGAGUAGUGAUUGAGAGAAAGACGACAUGAGUACGCAGACAUGCACUAAGAGGUGAGUAUUUUAACAGAAAAGCUGUUGGGAAGAAAAUAUAUUGUGUUUAGAUUUGUUUUGCCUUUUGG